GAUGAAGAACGUAUCGAAAUGCGAUACGUAGUGUGAAUUGCAGAAUUCAGUGAAUCAUCGAAUCUUUGAACGCACAUUGCACCUCUCGGUAUUCCGGGAGGUAUGCCUGUUCGAGCGUCAUUUGUACCCUCAAGCUCUGCUUGGUGUUGGGUGUUUGUUCCGCCUCUGUGUGUGAACUCGCCUCAAAACAAUUGGCAGCCGGCGUACUUGUUUCGGAGCGCAACACAUUUUGCGAUCCAGAUCAACGUACAGCGGCAUCCAAGAAGCCUUAUUUAACGCUCUUGACCUCGGAUCAGGUAGGGAUACCCGCUGAACUUAAGCAUAUCAAUAAGCGGAGGA
rnacentral:misc_RNA from 1 species